rnacentral:rRNA from 1 species
GGCUCAGGAUGAACGCUAGCUACAGGCUUAACACAUGCAAGUCGAGGGGCAGCACAAGGUAGCAAUACUGAGGUGGCGACCGGCGCACGGGUGCGUAACGCGUAUCCAACCUUCCCGAUACUCUUGGAUAGCCUUCCGAAAAGGGAGAUUAAUACAAGAUGGUGUUUCAAUUCCGCAUGUUAUUGAAACUAAGAUUUAUCGGUAUCGGAUGGGGAUGCGUGACAUUAGAUAGUAGGCGGGGUAACGGCCCACCUAGUCUACGAUGUCUAGGGGUUCUGAGAGGAAGGUCCCCCACACUGGAACUGAGACACGGUCCAGACUCCUACGGGAGGCAGCAGUGAGGAAUAUUGGUCAAUGGAGGCAACUCUGAACCAGCCAAGUAGCGUGCAGGAUGACGGCCCUAUGGGUUGUAAACUGCUUUUAUGCGGGGAUAAAUGAGCCUACGUGUAGGUUUUUGCAGGUACCGCAUGAAUAAGGACCGGCUAAUUCCGUG